rnacentral:rRNA from 1 species
GACGAACGCUGGCGGCGUGCUUAACACAUGCAAGUCGAACGGAAAGGCCCUGCUUUUGUGGGGUGCUCGAGUGGCGAACGGGUGAGUAACACGUGAGUAACCUGCCCUUGACUUUGGGAUAACUUCAGGAAACUGGGGCUAAUACCGGAUAGGAGCUCCUGCUGCAUGGUGGGGGUUGGAAAGUUUCGGCGGUUGGGGAUGGACUCGCGGCUUAUCAGCUUGUUGGUGGGGUAGUGGCUUACCAAGGCUUUGACGGGUAGCCGGCCUGAGAGGGUGACCGGCCACAUUGGGACUGAGAUACGGCCCAGACUCCGACGGGAGGCAGGAGGGGGGAAUAUUGCACAAUGGGCGGAAGCCUGAUGCAGCAACGCCGCGUGCGGGAGGACGGCCUUCGGGGUGUAAACCGCUUUCGCCUGUGACGAAGCGGGAGUGAGGGGAAUGGGUAAAGAAACACCGGCUAACUACGUG